rnacentral:rRNA from 1 species
GAUGAACGCUGGCGGCGUGCCUAAUACAUGCAAGUCGAGCGAACGGACGAGAAGCUUGCUUCUCUGAUGUUAGCGGCGGACGGGUGAGUAACACGUGGAUAACCUACCUAUAAGACUGGGAUAACUUCGGGAAACCGUAGCUAAUACCGGAUAAUAUUUUGAACCGCAUGGUUCAAAAGUGAAAGACGGUCUUGCUGUCACUUAUAGAUGGAUCCGCGCUGCAUUAGCUAGUUGGUAAGGUAACGGCUUACCAAGGCAACGAUGCAUAGCCGACCUGAGAGGGUGAUCGGGCACACUGGAACUGAGACACGGUCCAGACUCCUACGGGAGGCAGCAGUAGGGAAUCUUCCGCAAUGGGCGAAAGCCUGACGGAGCAACGCCGCGUGAGUGAUGAAGGUCUUCGGAUCGUAAAACUCUGUUAUUAGGGAAGAACAUAUGUGUAAGUAACUGUGCACAUCUUGACGGUACCUAAUCAGAAAGCCACGGCUAACUACGUG